UACGAAGGGGGCUAGCGUUGCUCGGAAUCACUGGGCGUAAAGCGCACGUAGGCGGAUUGUUAAGUCGCGUGUGAAAUCCCUUGGCUCAACCAAGGAAGUGCGCGCGAAACUGGCGAGCUCGAGUGCCGGAGAGGGUCGCGGAAUUCCCGGUGUAGAGGUGAAAUUCGUAGAUAUCGGGAGGAACACCAGUGGCGAAGGCGGCGACCUGGACGGACACUGACGCUGAGACGCGAAAGCGUGGGUAGCAAACAGG
rnacentral:rRNA from 1 species